GUCCCGGCGGUAAACGAUGGGCACUAGGUGUCGGAGGUAUCGACCCCUCCGGUGCCGCAGUUAACACAUUAAGUGCCCCGCCUGGGGAGUACGGCCGCAAGGUUGAAACUCAAAGGAAUUGACGGGGGCCGCACAAGCGGUGGAGUAUGUGGUUUAAUUCGACGCAACGCGAAGAACCUUACCUGGGCUUGACAUGUAACGGACAUGGUUAGAGAUAACCACUCGUCUUCGGACGUCGUUGCACAGGUGCUGCAUGGCUGUCGU
rnacentral:rRNA from 1 species